CUGAGGAAAGCGGACUGUUUUUAUAAAUAUUCCUUGAUUCCAACCACUUUCUACAUUUCUUUCCCCCCAGCCUUGUCACAUACAUCCUUGACGCAGAAACAGACGGGGGCUACCAGGAGAUAGAAGAGAGAGGAUACGUUCAUCAGCGGGAAGACGAAAACGACGGGAGCUACCAGGAAAUAGAAGAAGGUGAUGACAACGUCGACGACAUCGUCCCCAUCGUAGCUGUCUAC